rnacentral:rRNA from 1 species
UACGUAGGGGGCAAGCGUUGUCCGGAAUCAUUGGGCGUAAAGCGCGUGUAGGCGGCUUGGUAAGUCCGCUCUGAAAGCCCGGGGGCUCAACCCCGGGAGGCGGGUGGAUACUGUCAAGCUCGAGUCCGGAAGAGGCGAGUGGAAUUCCUGGUGUAGCGGUGAAAUGCGCAGAUAUCAGGAGGAACACCAAUGGCGAAGGCAGCUCGCUGGGACGUGACUGACGCUGAGACGCGAAAGCGUGGGGAGCAAACAGG